CGAAAGCCUGACGGAGCAAGACCGCGUGGGGGAGGAAUGCCUUAGGGUUGUAAACCCCUUUUAUCUGGGAAGAACAAAAUGACGGUACCAGAUGAAUAAGCCUCGGCUAACUCCGUGCCAGCAGCCGCGGUAAUACGGAGGAGGCAAGCGUUAUCCGGAAUGAUUGGGCGUAAAGAGUCCGUAGGUGGUUCAUCAAGUCUGCUGUUAAAGCGUGCAGCUCAACUGCAUAUAGGCAGUGGAAACUGUUGAACUAGAGUAUGGUAGGGGUAGGGGGAAUUCCCAGUGUAGCGGUGAAAUGCGUAGAGAUUGGGAAGAACACCGGUGGCGAAAGCGCUCUACUGGGCCACAACUGACGCUGAGGGACGAAAGCUAGGGGAGCG
rnacentral:rRNA from 1 species